rnacentral:rRNA from 1 species
UGGGGAAUUUUGGACAAUGGGGGCAACCCUGAUCCAGCCAUGCCGCGUGAGUGAAGAAGGCCUUCGGGUUGUAAAGCUCUUUCGGACGGAAAGAAAUCGCCAUUUCUAAUACAAGUGGUGGAUGACGGUACCGUCAUAAGAAGCACCGGCUAACUACGUGCCAGCAGCCGCGGUAAUACAGAGGGGGCAAGCGUUAUUCGGAAUUACUGGGCGUAAAGCGUGCGCAGGCGGUUCGUUAAGUCAGAUGUGAAAGCCCCGGGCUCAACCUGGGAACUGCAUUUGAGACUGGCGAGCUGGAGUGUGGCAGAGGGGGGUGGAAUCCCACGUGUAGCAGUGAAAUGCGUAGAGAUGUGUAGGAACACCGAUGGCGAAGGCAGCCCCCUGGGCUGACACUGACGCUCAUGCACGAAAGCGUGGGGAGCAAACAGGAUUAGAUACCCUGGUAGUCCACGCCCUAAACGAUGUCAACUGGGUGUUGGGGGAGCGAUUCCUCAGUACCGUAGCUAACGCGUGAAGUUGACCGCCUGGGGAGUACGGCCGCAAGGUUA